CAAUACCUGCUAACUGGGUACCUCACCAUCCAAAAGACAGCUGAAGGUUUAAUGCCACCUCAUGGCGGCAAAGAAGCAGUUAACUUCAGUGGGUCGUCAUGCUUGCUACUGCUAUCUCAAAUAAACAAACGUCAAGUUUAGACUGUACCUCCCCCAUAAUGAUAAGAUGACACCCCCCUGUGAUUCACAGGGCAUCAUUGGAUUUGGUGCUGCCAAUGAGUGUUGCAGGGACUAGGGAGGCCAACUUCACUUCAACCAGAAGUGCUUUUGGACCAUGCAUAUGAAAGACCGGAAGUAUUUCCAGGCGGAAAAUAAAAGAAGCUGCCUGCCUCACAACGACGAGCCAGAGUCAGGUGGAAAGUGGACAAAGCUUGUGAGGAGGAGUGGAGGAGUCAGUGGAAGAGAGAUCUAGAAAAAGAAGAUAAAAUUGUACUUGUUGCAGUGGUGGAGGGAAACGUUUGGUUGAAAGAGUUUACCCAGAAUAAAGGACUCUUUGUGAUU